rnacentral:rRNA from 1 species
UACGGGGGGGGCAAGCGUUGUUCGGAAUUACUGGGCGUAAAGGGCUCGUAGGUGGCCAACUAAGUCAGACGUGAAAUCCCCGGGCUUAACCUGGGAACUGCAUUUGUGACUGCAUCGCUGGAGUGCGGCAGAGGGGGAUGGAAUUCCGCGUGUAGCAGUGAAAUGCGUAGAUAUGCGGAGGAACACCGAUGGCGAAGGCAAUCCCCUGGGCCUGCACUGACGCUCAUGCACGAAAGCGUGGGGAGCAAACAGG